ACCUUUUCCCUCUUUCUCACUCUUCGUUUUCAAGAACACAGCUUUUUACUCUCUCUCAUUUUUUCUCCUCUCUCUUUCUCUCCUUCCCUCUUUUGUCUUCUUUCUUCUCAAACCCUAAAAAUAUCUGAACAAAUCUCCGCCGUCGCACACCCAGAUCGCGUCGGGACUCCCAUCCCCGUCGUCACCUCUUUCUCAUUCCACCACUGAUUUCGGUUCAUCAACAAACCCUAACACUACCGCCACCCUCAUUUCUCCGCCAUAGAUUGAUCCCUUUCUUCUGCAAAUUUCUCUAAGUGUAUCACAUCCAUUUACUACCCAAUAUUUUCAUUCCUGAACAUUAGAGAUCUACAAAUAUCAACGAAGAAUAAAUGAAAGUUGCGAGAUGGUGAAGUUACAACAAGACAGAUCCGUUUAGUUGAUUCUUGCAGUAGUGGAAAACAACAAGAUUUAUGGAUUUACAUUAGAGAGGAGAAAAAAUGGAAUAGGCAGAGGGAAUAUUUCAUCAUCAUUCAUGGAUCUGUGCAAGUGGCAAUAUCAUGGGUCUGUGUUGUUGAUUGUCUCUCACCUCUAGCAUGGAUUGCAUUUACCAAGAAGGAUGGUUGUAAGUGAAGGGUGUCGCGUGGUUAUUUUUUAAGUUGAAUCUUUAUCUUUUGGUGUCUUAUAACUCCUAUGUUUUCUAUGUCUUGCUUGAAUACUUAUCACUAGAUAUUUUCCUCUAGUAUGAUAUUAUGUGUCUGUUAAUUAGAUAUUUUUUAGUGACCAGUUUAUAUGUUCAUUGAUAAUUUUGUUUUAAGGAACCUGCUGAAUUUUUAGAAUUUGCUGCUUGACAUGUUCAUUUGUUUUCCAUUAUGAACUUUCCAUAUUGAAACUUCAUGGUCUGUCAAAGAUGACGUUACAAGAAGCUUUCAAUCUAGCUCAUGCUUUCAGUCAUUAUCUUACUAUGAUGGGUAUAGCUGAAACUCACCAUAGAUUGAUCGUUAUGUGGCAGAGAUGAAGAAGACAACGAAAACGAAAGCAAAACUAAUGCUUUUGGAAAGAGGAAGGCAACUGUUCCUUUGCAUCUACUUGGCUGUCAUGUUGGCUUCAACAAUGCAGUAUUUUUUUGUUAUUCUAAGUGUAUGUUGCAUUUUCAGGGUGUAUCAAGACAUUGUAGUCUUCUUGCUGUUUUUGUUAGUGAAUUACAUGACAGUUAGCAGAAGCAGAAACAGGAUACUGAUUCCAAGGAUAAAUUCUCGUCGUAACCCUUUAUGGAGCUUUCUUUGUCCGGGCGGCUUGAGGAGUUAAACAUAAAAAAACACACUAAAAGCUCCUCACCGAUGAGACAUUUACUAGGGAUGACCUUAUAACUAAUCAGAAUUCUAAUGCACUUGACCAGAAGGUAAGGCAUGAUACAACAUGUAGCUCAUCCAUCUUUUCUAAUCUACUGAUCCCAUGCUGGUCCUUGAUAUUGGUGCUUUCGUUGGUGCUACUUUUAGUAGCUUUAUGAACUUCUGUUUUCUUUACUCAUAACUAUAGAAAAUGAGUUCGGAUCCAACCUUUAACAUAAACAAGUCGAGUGAUAUCAAGCAAAUGCUUAAGGAGCUUGGAACUGAGGAAGGAAAUUGCAUUGCACGGGGGAGGUGGUGGCAAGGCACAAAAGAAAAGGCCGCUGCACUUGGUGUCAUCUUAGUUGCAAGGUCACAAGUUAAAGACGAUUCCAAAUUGAAUCCUGACGCAGCCCUCGGGAACUUAGUAUUGUAAAUGUUGUAUCUGCCUUAUUACAUGGAAGAAGCACAACUACUGCUAAAGCCUCAUCAAGCGAUAAAACUGCUACUGGAAUAGCUAUGCAUGUGGCUGGUGACAGAAAUUCACAAUUUUGAAAAGUUCAGUCAAAAAUUGUUUGUUCUAAUUGCACCAUUGCACUAGGUGACUUGGCAGUAAGGUUUCCCAAUCUUUUAGACACUUAUGCAAUCAUUUGUUUAUCAGGUGAAAGGGUACAUUAAUGAAAUGGCAAUUAGAUUAGAAGGCAAAUAUGAGAAAAUUUCAAAUCUCGCGAAGUUAUUUUUUCUUGAACUUUCCAAUAAAGGUUUUUCCUUAUAA